rnacentral:rRNA from 1 species
GACGAACGCUGGCGGCGUGCUUAACACAUGCAAGUCGAACGGAAAGGCCCUGCUUUUGUGGGGUGCUCGAGUGGCGAACGGGUGAGUAACACGUGAGUAACCUGCCCUUGACUUUGGGAUAACUUCAGGAAACUGGGGCUAAUACCGGAUAGGAGCUCCUGCUGCAUGGUGGGGGUUGGAAAGUUUCGGCGGUUGGGGAUGGACUCGCGGCUUAUCAGCUUGUUGGUGGGGUAGUGGCUUACCAAGGCUUUGACGGAUAGCCGGCCUGAGAGGGUGACCGGCCACAUUGGGACUGAGAUACGGCCCAGACUCCUACGGGAGGCGGCAGUGGGGAAUAUUGCACAAUGGGCGGAAGCCUGAUGCAGCAACGCCGCGUGCGGGAUGACGGCCUUCGGGUUGUAAACCGCUUUCGCCUGUGACGAAGCGUGAGUGACGGUAAUGGGUAAAGAAGCACCGGCUAACUACGUG